rnacentral:tRNA from 1 species
AGCCUCGGGGUGUCAGCACAUUAGAUUGCAAAUCUAAAGGAGCAGAAUAACAUUCUGCCGGGGCUU